rnacentral:snRNA from 1 species
AUACCUACCUGGCAAGGGAGAUACCAUGAUCAUGAAGGUGGUUUUCCACCCAGCACUCUGGAUGUGCUGACCCCUGCAAUUUCCCCAAGUGUGGGAAACUCGAAUGCAUAAUUUGUGGUACUGGGGGACAGCAUUCACAUUCUACCCAGU